GUUAUUUCCCCCUUUUCCUGAUGUAGCUUGCUUGGUACAACGGAGUGGUUGGAUAAAAGACGUGGAUAUUUUCUUCCAGUGGUUAUCAGCAAUACCAUUUACUGGUGGUGGUUUCAGUGAAGCUGCAAUUGCAGAAGGGCUUGCUGAAGCAUUAAUGAUGUUCUCCAUAACUCCAAAUGGAAACCAAACUCAACAAAACAUGGAUGGAUAGAAACAUUGUAUUCUUGUAGCUACAAGCAAUCCCUAUGCCCUGCCCACCCAUCUCUAGACCAACUAUCCAAAAUUUGGAGAAGAAUGACAGUUGUACAGAAGCACAAUUAGAAAGUUGUCUGUCUAAUGCUAAGGCAGUGGCUAGAUCAUUCCCUUAGUUCCUUUAAAUGAGACACAAUCUUCAAUGUUUCCAAUCCUUGGCACAUGCAGUGCUUUGUUUCUCUGUCAGUUAUUUCUCCGAAGCAACUUCCAAA